rnacentral:rRNA from 1 species
AUUGAACGCUGGCGGCAUGCCUUACACAUGCAAGUCGAACGGCAGCAUGAUCUAGCUUGCUAGAUUGAUGGCGAGUGGCGAACGGGUGAGUAAUACAUCGGAACGUGCCCUGUAGUGGGGGAUAACUAGUCGAAAGAUUAGCUAAUACCGCAUACGACCUGAGGGUGAAAGUGGGGGACCGCAAGGCCUCAUGCUAUAGUAGCGGGCGAUGUCUGAUUAGCUAGUUGGUGAGGUAAAGGCUCACCUAGGCGACGAUCAGUAGCUGGUCUGAGAGACGAUCAGCCACACUGGGACUGAGACACGGCCCAGACUCCUACGGGAGGCAGCAGUGGGGAAUUUUGGACAAUGGGGGCAACCCUGAUCCAGCAAUGCCGCGUGUGUGAAGAAGGCCUUCGGGUUGUAAAGCACUUUUGUCCGGAAAGAAAUCGCACUUACUAAUAUUAGGUGUGGAUGACGGUUCCGGAAGAAUAAGGACCGUCUAACUACGUGCCAGCCGCCGCCGUAAAAC